CAUUUUCAAAACUCGUUCAUUUCGCUGUCGGUUUUCAAAGAGUGAACUUGUUCGUUUCGCAAAACAUGGAAAAGUUACAUUUAAUUAUGAAAGUAUUUUAUAAAAUACUACUAAAAUAUCAAUUCUGCAUGUAUUCUGCAACUUACGCAGUUGCAAAGAAAUAAAAGGCCGCAAUGAUGGGCUGGAAAAGUGGGGAUAAAAUUACCUAUGCAAUUCUGAAAAACUGCUUAUGUCGAUGCAUGUGCUAUGUGCUCUAAUCCCCUGGUAAAAGCCCUUACCCAGCUGCUUGUAAGAUGCUUGUAAACCAGAUGGCGAAUGGCGAAAUGGUGGUCACAAAGGACAAAGAAUUAUUCGGUUUUUGCACAGAUUUCACUGGCAGGUGUCUAUAUUAAAAGGGAGAAACAUGUUGGGUGUGUGGAUUUCUGAAAAGAAUGUUUGCCUAAUUGAACACUGAGAAGCUAUGUAUAACGGAUGGCUGGCGUAAAUUGAUAGGCAUGCGAAGGAUCCCUCUACUGAGUCGAACCCAAAUUAAACAAUCAUGCUGUCUACUUUUAACUGAUCAUCUAAUUUGCUAUACUUGAAGCUCCUUCCUCCCUUAUUUGUACUAAAUGAAAGUUUGUUUUUCAUUGCAGACAACAAUCGUUCGGAGCUCGAAUUUAUGCUUGACCAAUGAAGGUAAGCAUUGUAACGAAAAAAUAAAGAAUUGAUUGAAAUGAUGAUUUAUCCUCACUCAGGAUCCCUCUACUGAGUCGAACCCAAUUUAAAAACCGUGCUGCUAUAUCUCAACUGAUUCAUUAUAUAAAAUAUUUUAUUUGAAAUGAAUGUUUCCAGUACCCUAACCACGUUAUCUCUUUUGCAGGUAGGUGGAGAUUACAUGGGAUACGAACAGCCUUGUCUAAACCAUCAUAAGCAGUCUAACGACAGUAAGGUCUACGUGACCUGAAUGACUCACGUCUCAUAUAUGGCCGGGAAUUUUUAAUCUAGCUGCAUUUCCCAAAAACUUGGGUAAAUUUUGUGGACUACUAAAUUUGCAUCAUACCGUUUUAAUUAAAAAAUUAAAAU